AGAGUUUGAUCCUGGCUCAGAACGAACGCUGGCGGCGUGGAUAAGACAUGCAAGUCGAGCGCUGAUUACAGGGUAGCAAUAUCUUGUGGUCGGAGCGGCGCAAGGGUGCGUAACACGUGGGUAAUCUGCCAUGAAGUUUGGGAUAACUUGCUGAAAGGCGAGCUAAUACCGGAUGUGACAAUUGGUUGGCAUCAAUUGAUUGUCAAAGCUGGGGACCGUAAGGCCUGGCGCUUCAUGAUGAGCCCGCGGCCUAUCAGCUAGUUGGUAAGGUAACGGCUUACCAAGGCUAAGACGGGUAGCUGGUCUGAGAGGACGACCAGCCACACUGGAACUGAGACACGGUCCAGACACCUACGGGUGGCAGCAGUCGAGAAUUUUUCACAAUGGGCGCAAGCCUGAUGGAGCGACGCCGCGUGGGGGAUGAAUGGCUUCGGCCCGUAAACCCCUGUCAUUUGCGAACAAAUUGGUUCAAUUAACACCUGAACCAUUGAUAGUAGCGGAAGAGGAAGGGACGGCUAACUCUGUGCCAGCAGCCGCGGUAAUACAGAGGUCCCGAGCGUUGUUCGGAUUCACUGGGCGUAAAGGGUGCGUAGGUGGUGAGGUAAGUCGGAUGUGAAAGCUCGGAGCUCAACUCCGAAAUGGCAUUGGAAACUACCUUGCUCGAGGGUUGGAGGGGGGACUGGAAUUCUCGGUGUAGCAGUGAAAUGCGUAGAUAUCGAGAGGAACACCAGUGGCGAAGGCGAGUCCCUGGACAACUCCUGACACUGAGGCACGAAAGCUAGGGGAGCAAACAGGAUUAGAUACCCUAGUAGUCC
rnacentral:rRNA from 1 species